rnacentral:rRNA from 1 species
UACGGAGGGUGCAAGCGUUAUCCGGAUUCACUGGGUUUAAAGGGUGCGUAGGCGGGCAGGUAAGUCCGUGGUGAAAUCUCUGAGCUUAACUCAGAAACUGCCAUGGAUACUAUUUGUCUUGAAUGUUGUGGAGGUAAGCGGAAUAUGUCAUGUAGCGGUGAAAUGCUUAGAUAUGACAUAGAACACCAAUUGCGAAGGCAGCUUACUACACAAAUAUUGACGCUGAGGCACGAAAGCGUGGGGAUCAAACAAGA